GCAUAUCAGUUGCAGUUGGGGCAGGCAUAUCAGAUGCAGUUGGCAUAUCAUUUGCAGUUGGCAUAUCAGUUGCAGUUGGCACAUGUCCUUUUUUAGGUUUUCUCUACAUGUAAGACACAAUGUAUGGUUGUCAUCACAAUGCAUAUCACAAUGAAGAAUGUAAGACAGAAUGUAGACCAAAAUUAUCACAAUGCAUAUCACCUUUCUUUUAAGUGCAUUGGGAUCCUGAGUGGUAGCCUUACAAGUCAUAGCAUUGUGACCAAAAUUAUCACAUUUGGUGCACUUAUAUGCAACACCA
rnacentral:lncRNA from 1 species